rnacentral:misc_RNA from 1 species
CGUUAAAAACAGUUCUUCUUCGUAAGCUUAACUGUAAAAUUGCUUUGUUAAAGUACCCUGAAUUGAGAUGAUCAAGAUGAUCCAGAUCAACACGUUGCUCUUUGCUUUGCUGGUCGUACUGUUUGGUAGUUCAAUAAUGGCAGCACCGUUCGAAGAAGAAAAAAGUUCGGGGUAUAGUUUUAUGAAUGAAAAAUUACCAGAAGAAUUAGAGACGAUUGAUCUCACGAGAUCCAGAAGAGCCACUUGCCGAAUUCCCGUUAUUGGUGAAUGGGUUAGCGACAGUGCUUGUGCCGCAGGCUGUAUCGCAAGAGGAAGAGCCGGUGGCCAUUGCAGAAAUGAGAUCUGUCAUUGUCGAGAAACCUUUUGUCGACUCUGUUUCCAAUAGUGUUGACGAGUAUCACCCUGCUUGCAAGGUCUGGGGAGGUGGAGAUUGGCUUUGUAACUUGUCCUGCCAAAUAGCAAAAAAAUCUGGUGGAUAUUGCAACGGAUACGACUGUCACUGCAGAGGAAUUACUAUUUUUUGGAUCUAUUGUUUGAACGAAAAUACAACAGGUUUGCUGCACACGACAAUUAUCAAGCAAAACAUUGUACAUAAAUACAUUAG